GCCAUUUGCUUGCAAAGCUCCAGCAAUUCAUCCUGGGGAAGGAAAGCCUUCAGAGGCAGCGAAACCCUGCAGAGGAUGCGUCCUUCUCUUUCACAGCUGAACCGAACAAAGGCUGUUGCAGGCUAAAGAGUCCAUGGAAAAAUCAACACGGAUUCCUCUGUUUUCAGCAGUUAGCAAAGACCGCUCUUCCUAGAAAAAUCUCCAAAGCCCCUUAAAUCCUCAGAAUGAGUUCUCCUUGCUACUAUCAGAGACUGGAGAACUGCCACAAAUACCUGCCUCACAUAUAUAAAGGUGUUCCAGUGAAUUACCUUUCUAGAUGAAUAAAGUAUCAAAUUCCAAACAGCAAAAGGACGUGAAUAUUGUUGGAUUUAGCCGUACAAUUGGGAAGCUUCAGAGGAAGAACCAUGACUACUUGAUUGUAACAAAAAUUUCUAAUCUGCCCAAUAGCUGAAUGGAUUGCAAAGUAAUUAAAAGUACAGAAAAUUGCUAAAACAUUUGCUAGAAAUAGUAAUAUAGUAAAAAUAAUAAACAUCAUGAAUACGUCCAGAGGAUACUUCAACUUGAUCUGAGAAAAAAAUACAGAUAUGUUUGGAAGGAGAGAUGCUAAAGCCACUGCUGUGAGCACCAAGGUUACAUCAGAGCAUUAGCUCUUUUCUAUUAACAAAAAACCUCAGCUGAGAAAAUCCUUUUGAUAAUCCUUUUGGAUAAUUUUAUCUGGCAAGGGCAUCCUAUUCUUCCUCAUCUUUUAAUACUAAACUAGAAUAUAAAAAUAUCAUUGUUAGAAAUUAUGAGCCCAGGCAAAUGGGAGGACUAUUCCAAUACAAAUGUGAAAGAUCCAUUGGUGGCAGGGAAGGUGGCAGCAUUCAGGCCAGUUCAAGGGAGUUUGCCACUGUCUUCCCUUCCCAUCAUUCCACAUUUUAAGCUGACAAGGCUAUUAAAUAAUCUUAUUCUAGCCCUGGCGUGUUAGCAAUGCAGCAAACUAAAACAAGGAUUAGGGUUAGGGCUCAUACACAGCCUUGUUAGCUUUAAGGUUACUUCUCCCAUAAUUUGCUGUCUCAGGCAGUUAUCCUUACUACGUUUAGGGUGUGGAGUUUCAAGAAAACCCAAGAUUCUGGAAAAAGGAAAGAAGAAGCAGGCACAAACACAAACAAAGGAAUAAGCCAACACAAAAUCUGUUCAAGCAUUUUAUACCUUUCUCAUGAAUGAAAACAAAGGAUGCCAAUCAUACUUCUACUGUUAUUCUAAGUCCAAAAUUAAACUUCCAAGUUAUUGAAUACCACACAAGAUAUGAUCAUCACACUGGAAUGCCAUCCACAUAUGUUGGUCCAUCCUCUAAUGUAAAGGGAUUCUUCAACUCAUAUUUUACAUAUUCUCUCAAAGAAUGAUGAUUCGUAUAAUUUUAUAGGGUUUUACCAUUACCUGAAACACAUGUUUUCUUUUCAGAAAAUAAGUUCUAAUUAUAGCAUAAAGAGAGAAAAAUGCUUUGUUCAACUGAAUAGAAAUAAAGCACUAAACAUUA